rnacentral:rRNA from 1 species
GACGAACGCUGGCGGCGUGCUUAACACAUGCAAGUCGAACGAUGAAGCAAAGACUCGUAGCUUCGGCAGAAAUUCAUUUCGGAUUAGUGGCAGACGGGUGAGUAACGCGUGAGCAACCUACCUCUUACAAAGGGAUAGCCUCGGGAAACCGGGAUUAAUACCAUAUAACAUUGUGACGAAGCAUUUCGAUGCAAUCAAAGCUACGGCGGUAAGAGAUGGGCUCGCGUCCCAUUAACCGGAUGGUGAGGUAACGGCGCACCAUAGUGACGAUGGGUAAACGGCCAGAGAGGGUGAGCGGUCACACUGGAACUGAGACACGGUCCAGACUCCUACAGGAGGGAGCAGUGGGGAAUAUUGCACAAUGGAGGGAACUAUGAUGCAGCGACGCCGCGUGAGUGAUGAAGGAAUUCGUGAAGUAAAGCUCUGUUCUAUGGGAAGAAAAGGACUGUACCAUAGGAGAAAGCUCCGGCUAAAUACGUG